UACGGGGGGGGCAAGCGUUGUUCGGAAUUACUGGGCGUAAAGGGUGCGUAGGCGGUCGGGUAAGUCUGAUGUGAAAUCUCACAGCUUAACUGUGAAACUGCAUUGGAUACUACUCGGCUAGAGAGUUGGAGGGGGGACUGGAAUUCUUGGUGUAGCAGUGAAAUGCGUAGAUAUCAAGAGGAACACCAGUGGCGAAGGCGAGUCCCUGGACAACUUCUGACGCUGAGGCACGAAAGCUAGGGGAGCAAACAGG
rnacentral:rRNA from 1 species